CCCGGCGGGGGCAGCGGCACUCCCCGGGUGGCUCCUCCGGGCUGCAGCCCCGCAGAUGGGGGCCGCUGUCCCGCUCCUCCUGCCCGCGGGCUGCUGCGGUCAGCAAAAGCGACGGCUUGUUACGGGGUGGCCGCCGUGGGGGAGAAAGCUGUAGAAAGGUGCUCUGGGGAGAUGUGAAGGAGGGCUCGAGCACAGCGACUGGGUGGGAAGGAGGUGACAGUUAGCUGGAGAAGAGCAUAAUUCCCCACCGCUUUCCCCAAGUCCCUCACGCUGCCCUCGGGCACCUGCUGGCUUUGCUUCUGUCCCUCCGUGUACCAGCACAAACGCUCCUGUCGUCCUUGGGGUCAUGGCACGGCCCUGGACACAAGGCACCGCCUGGCUCAGUGCCUCCUACCCUCAUGCUUCCCCUUGCAGGAGGGUGGGAGAGAAAACCUUCCCUCACCGCUGCACCCCGCACCAGGACAGUGGCUGUGACAAGGAGCCCGUGCCCUGGCUGGUGCCCUGCUGUCCUCACCCUGAGGGGCAGAGCUGCCCAGGGCAGCAGGGAGCAUUCUACCAUCCCAUCUCACAGGAAGGAGGAAGCUGGCCCUUGGAGAUCCCUCCUCAGGGGAGCAGAAGUUGUGGAACUACAUGGAUAUUGAGGUAAUGAAGCAAUGGACUGCAGCAAUUGGUUCAACACAAUCUCAAAGGCAGCAUGAGCAGCUCUUGGGCCAAGUGCCUUUUCUGGCCCAAAGCAUCUGCUGGGGAAAGGCAAUGAAUUACUUGCGGCUUUUUUUGUUUGUUUGUUUUUACCUAACGUUCAUCUGAAAAUAAAUUGCAGGCCAGAACAGGUGGAUAACAUUCUGGAAUGAUUUAAUGAUUUAUUUAAUCUGGAUUCUCUUUCAAUCUACUUAGCAGGAUGAAUACUUUUUUUAGCCCAAGUCCAAAAGCUGGGUUUUUCAUUUACAGAAGAGAAAAUACCCCACAAGAGCUCUGCUUCACCAAGGUGUGCUCCGCAGCAUUGUCUGCAGCACAACAGUCAUUCUGGGGUUGCUGAGAGCCCUGAGAAAAAUUCUUCCUUGCCAUAUGCACAGUGCUUCAGAUGGGUAUCUGCUCUCCUUUGUGCAGCAUCUGGGCAAUAAGACAGCUGAUCUUAGCACCAGGCACUGCACCUUCAAUCUGAGUAUGGGCAGCUUUCAGCCUGCAAAGACAGCCACUCUCUGGCUCUCCCUCUCCAUAGGGCAGCCUAGGGCACCAGUGACCAGAGAGUGACUAGAGAGUGACCAGAAAGUAAGUGCUGCAGCACAGCACCAGCAGACACAAAAGCAGCGUUUCCCACCCCCAUGCCCUUGGUAGGGCCUGGGAGCCUGCCAGACUGAGGGACUUCCAGCCCCUGCCCUGCUGGGGACAGCACAGUCAUCUGCCAGGUGCUUGGCCGCAGUGUCUGUGUAGAACAGCAGCGUGAAGAAGCAUGGGAGUUGAGUCAUGCAUAACCCCAAGAAUAAUGCUGCAGCUACAAGCCCUUACCCGGUUUGGAUGACCCAUCCAAGUGGACUCUCUCCUCUAUUUUAAAGGUACACAUCAUCCAUGUAAAACACCUCCAAGAUGCCCUCCAUAGUUAGCUGCUUAAUGGAACGUCUUAAAUAUAUCCACCAGCCAUGAAACAAGCAGCACUGGAGCUCUCUGCUGCCACAGCCAAUCCCACUGCUGCUCAUUAUGGGUAACAGAAAAAUAUCACUUCCACAUCACUGAGUUCUGGUCUUCCCUACGUGAACCACAAGAGGCACCGGACAGUGACACGACUCUUGUAUGCUAAAUAUUCCUGUGAGCCAACAGCACCUGGAGUAGUUCAGGUAAAGCAGUGCUGGCUGCCUUAGCUGGGGGAAGGCAGCUUCUGCCAGCAGGACUUCAAAUGUCCCACUCUUUAGCACCUGCCAGAGGGAGCUGAUGCAUUCCUGUUCCCCCCACAUCACAUCCUGGCUGGUGCAUCUCACAGAGAUGCUGUAUCUGGUGUCCGUCUGCCCGUCAAGUGUUACAAUUUACCUGUAGAAAAAUCAAUUGCCAGUAAAACUCCCCGAGUAUCCUGUGGAAUUCAGAAAUGUAACAUGUAUUACUCCUCUCCCUGAACUUUCCCAUAAAGUACUGGCUUACUCAGUAUUCUGUGGCAGGAAAUUAUUAAAACUUGUCCUAGUUCCUCUCAAUUGCAGCGAUAAUAUAACCUCACUUUCUCUUCAUACACAUUUAGAACUGGAGCUACAAAUAUAAUACGUGGUAUUCCAUAAGUGAAUCAGAUGGAAUUACAGUGUAAGAAUGUAGUCAUAGGGGCAACUGUAUUUGGAGCCCAACUCCAAAAGUUAAUAACAGUGAUGGUGUCUCUCACUCCCUCACCCCAAAUCACAGACCCACAUUGCAUUAUGAGUGCCCCAGUAGGAGCUGGCUCCUUCAGCCUUUCCCAGCAGAAGACGCUGGGGCCUGGAUUUGCUUUCAGAGUGCUCUGGGUUUUGUCUGGUGAAAUAAAACUUGGGGACAGAUUUCUUAUGGAAACAAUGCUCCAAUAGUCACCAUGAGAAAAGACCACCACCUGCCCACCAUUUCCUAAUUUGUUAAAUUAAAUGACAUAUCUCAGCCAAUUGCAAACACGAGUGUCCAUGCUGUUGCCUCCUUGAAUAAACUGUGAAAGAAGUCUGUGCCACCCACAAGCAGAGCAGCCCCAGAGCAUCCUCUCCAGAGGUCCAGGGACUAAAAUGGUUCUUCAGCAAGUGCUGACAUUGAAAGUAGAGGAGCAAGAAAUGAAACUCACACAACAGAAUGGUAAGGAGAUUUCUGCUGCAGAACUCUCUCACUCAUUUAGCCACCCAGGCCGACAUGUCCACA
ensembl:lncRNA